UACGUAGGGUGCAAGCGUUGUCCGGAAUUAUUGGGCGUAAAGAGCUCGUAGGCGGUUUGUCGCGUCUGCUGUGAAAACUCGGGGCUUAACCCCGGGCCUGCAGUGGGUACGGGCAGACUAGAGUGCGGUAGGGGAGACUGGAAUUCCUGGUGUAGCGGUGAAAUGCGCAGAUAUCGGGAAGAACACCCGUGGCGAAGGCGGUUCUCUGGGACGGUACUGACGCUGAGACGCGAAAGCGUGGGGAGCGAACAGG
rnacentral:rRNA from 1 species